UAAGGAAUAUUGCUCAAUGGGAGAAAUCCUGAAGCAGCAACGCCGCGUGGAGGAUGAAGGGUCUAUGACUUGUAAACUCCUGUAAAGAAGGAAAAAAUUCCCAUUUGAUGGGAGAUGAUGGUACUUCUGGAGUAAGCCCCGGCUAACUACGUGCCAGCAGCCGCGGUAAUACGUAGGGGGCAAGCGUUGUCCGGAUUUACUGGGUGUAAAGGGUGCUCAGGCGGAUUUGUAAGUCAGAGGUGAAAUCUUACAGCUUAACUGUGAAACUGCCUUUGAUACUGCAAGCCUAGAGUAUGGAAGAGAGUGAUUGAAUAUCUGGUGUAGCAGUGAAAUGCGUAGAUAUCAGAUAGAACACCAAUGGCGAAGGCAGUCACUUGGUCCAUUACUGACGCUAAAGCACGAAAGCGUGGGUAGCAAAC
rnacentral:rRNA from 1 species